rnacentral:lncRNA from 1 species
UUUUUUCCCAAAAAUUUUAUUGGGGGAAACUACAAAACAUUUACAGUACAAUGUUUACAGUCACAAUUUGUAGUGAACUGAUUCCCCAAAAUAUAUUACAACUCAAGUUGACUUAUCUUGUUACAUUCAAAAACCUACUUCUGUCAAAGUAGUCCAGAGUACAUACAUACAGAGUGCUCCAACUGUACCUACGUACAAACAAACUAAAGCUACUGCUCAUUCAUCCGCUGUCCAGGAAAGCAUUCCUGCCUUUCUACACACGCAAAAAAAAAAAAAAAAAAAAAAAAAAAAAAAAAAAAAGUUUUGGAAUUUUCUGUAAUGAAACAAGGCAUAUUCAUGUACUACAUACCAUUUUUUUUUUAGCACUAAGAGGUGGCCUCUUCACUUUAGAUCUAUAUAAAAAAAGUGGUAAAUAUCUUUUCCUUUUGUGCAGUUGAACCCAUCCUACAUUCAAAUUCUCUCAAGCACUAAUAGAAAAAUACUUAUUUGGUUGAGGAAGAUUUAAGGCAAGUUCUGGCCCUUCCAAAGGCACUGCGAGACUAAACCCCCACCCCAUUAUUGCUACAUGUCUUUAUACGCAGAGUAUGUCACAGUAGAAUUGGUGGAAUAAACAAAAGACCUUUUUUUUUUUUUGCUAAUUUAAAAAGUUGGAAUGAGAAAAGCAUGCCACAUUGAAGCCUGAUUUGCAAAGUAUGUGGUCACUUCUUUAAAGUUGGAUGGGCUACAACCAUUAUACAUUCUAAGAAAACUCAUAAGAUAUUCCUCAAACUACUUCCACAGCAUCAGGAUAGGAUUUCUGUAAAGAAAUCACGCAAUCUUUCAAAAUUUACGUAAACAAGGAAAGAAAUUAAUGAAAUAAAUAUUACAUACAAUCUCUUAAAUUAAGAUUUUUUUUUACUCAUUUACAAUAAAAUAACCAAGUGAAGUUACAAAAGGCAUAUAUUACUGUGAAAAGAACAUACACUCCACAUUUUGCCGAUUAAUAAUGGCAAUCAUAAUUUAACAUAAUAAAAGAAUAUAUAUCUAUUGCUUUUCAUCAUACUUGAUAAAUACAGUAUGAACAAAAUUUUCAAUGUAUACUUUUCACAAGAUAAUAAAUAAGUUAAAUAGUUUUUUCAUAUUGAGUUGUGGUGCAGUGGUGCGAAUCAACUCAAAACAGCUAAAAAUUCAGCAGUUAUUCCCCCCAACGAUUACGAACUAAGCUCUGCCCAAGGCUUCCAGAAAGAGCAGACAAAAUGGUUCUAAAAUUAAACAUCCACUAAGUGGUGGCAAUGAAACCAGUAACCAGUAGGAAACUUUGGAAUGCAGGUGUUUUUUUUUUUUUCCCAGACAAAAAAACUUGGUGUCAAACAAACAAAAACCUAGGGAGCUGAGGACUACAAUCAAGGCAUAUUCCUGGUAGAAUGUUGGAUUCCAGAAGCUUAGAGGUUUAGCAAGGUGGUGGCUGGCUGGUUUGUUUACACUGGUCUGAGACAAACGACAAUUAGGAACUUCAAGAUAAGAGUUCCCACAUCUGGACUGUAACUAAUGCUUUUCAAGUGAAGAUAUGGAAUGGUGGUUGGUAGCUGCUGGUGCUGGGUUGAUUUUAUUUUAUUUUUUUCCUAAAGUCCCAAACUCCUAGGAGACCUAAAAAAGUUUAAGUGUUUGGUUUUUCUUUUUUUUUUUUUUUGUUCUGUUCGCAUCACAACUGCCCUGUUGUGAAUAUUUUUGUUCAUCAAUACAAAAGUUCGUUGGCUUUGUUUUGCUCAACAAGAAUGAAAACUUCGUAAUAAUAAUAAAAAUAAUAAUUAAAAAAAAAAAAAAAAAAGAGGAA